CAGCCGCCGCGGUAAUACAGAGGGUGCAAGCGUUAAUCGGAAUUACUGGGCGUAAAGCGCGCGUAGGUGGUUCGCCAAGUUGGAUGUGAAAUCCCCGGGCUCAACCUGGGAACUGCAUCCAAAACUGGCGAGCUAGAGUAUGGUAGAGGGUGGUGGAAUUUCCUGUGUAGCGGUGAAAUGCGUAGAUAUAGGAAGGAACAUCAGUGGCGAAGGCGACCACCUGGACUGAUACUGACACUGAGGUGCGAAAGCGUGGGGAGCAAACAGGAUUAGAUACCGGGUAGUCCCUGUCUCUUAUACA
rnacentral:rRNA from 1 species